rnacentral:rRNA from 1 species
UACGUAGGGACCAAGCGUUGUUCGGAUUUACUGGGCGUAAAGGGCGCGUAGGCUGCGCGACAAGUCACUUGUGAAAUCUCCGAGCUUAACUCGGAACGGUCAAGUGAUACUGUUGUGCUAGAGUACAUAAGGGGCAAUCGGAAUUCUUGGUGUAGCGGUGAAAUGCGUAGAUAUCAAGAGGAACACCUGAGGUGAAGACGGGUUGCUGGGCUGAUACUGACGCUGAGGCGCGAAAGCUAGGGUAGCGAACGGG